GAUGAAGUUUCCCUAAUCUCUUGAAGAUUCUAAAGGGUCGUUGAAGACUACAACGUUGAUAGGCAGGGUGUGGAAGCGCAGUAAUGUGUGAAGCUAACCUGUACUAAUUGCCCGUGCGGCUUAACCAUAUAACCCCAAG
rnacentral:rRNA from 1 species